UACUAAUCAUAUCCAAGAAAAUCAACAGAAAGGCAAUGCAAAAAGCAUAGCAUUCACAAGACAUUUACAAACUGUAACCCAUUUGGGAGAUUCAGUCGUGCUUCUGAUUUUUAUAAUUCUCAAAUUCUUCCUACAGAUUCUAUUUCCAGUUAUGGAUGCAAUACAAAGCAAGUCUUAACUUUGGUUUUGGAAUUUUAUUUUCGGGUUUUUAUUGGUUCAUUUGGCAAUUCAUAGGACAACUUUGUUCUUAUCAAAUAGAACUUAAUCUUGACAUUUGCUCAGCUUGUUUCCCAGGGUGGUUGUUUUCCAUCUUGUAUUGACUACAUGGACUAAGAAUGAUCAUGGGCAAAGGGGUUACCUUGAA
rnacentral:misc_RNA from 1 species